UACGUAGGCAGCAAGCGUUGUUCGGAGUUACUGGGCGUAAAGGGUGUGUAGGCGGUUUUCUAAGUCUGGUGUGAAAUCUCCCGGCUCAACUGGGAGGGUGCGCCGAAAACUGGAAGGCUAGAGUGCGGGAUGGGAGAGUGGAAUUCCUGGUGUAGCGGUGAAAUGCGUAGAGAUCGUAAGGAAGACCAGUGGCGAAGGCGGGUCUCUGGACAGUUCCUGACACUGAGGCACGAAGGCCAGGGGAGCAAACGGG
rnacentral:rRNA from 1 species